rnacentral:rRNA from 1 species
UACGUAGGGGGGCAAGCGUUGUCCGGAAUUAUUGGGCGUAAAGCGCGCGCAGGCGGUCAUUUAAGUCUGGUGUUUAAUCCCGGGGCUCAACCCCGGGUCGCACUGGAAACUGAAUGACUUGAGUACAGAAGAGGAGAGUGGAAUUCCACGUGUAGCGGUGAAAUGCGUAGAUAUGUGGAGGAACACCAGUGGCGAAGGCGACUCUCUGGGCUGUAACUGACGCUGAGGCGCGAAAGCGUGGGGAGCAAACAGG